rnacentral:tRNA from 2 species
AGGAAUAUAGCUCAAUGGUAGAGUAAUAGUCUCCAAAACUAUUGAUGUAGGUUCGAUUCCUUCUAUUCCUG